GUUGACCUCGGAUCAGGUAGGAAUACCCGCUGAACUUAAGCAUAUCAAUAAGCGGAGGAAAAGAAACCAACAGGGAUUCCCCUAGUAACGGCGAGUGAAGCGGGAACAGCUCAAAUUUGAAAUCUGGCCCUCGGGUCCGAGUUGUAAUUUGCAGAGGAUGCUUUUGGUGCGGUGCCUUCCGAGUUCCCUGGAACGGGACGCCUUAGAGGGUGAGAGCCCCGUACGGUUGGCCACCAAGCCUGUGUAAAGCUCCUUCGACGAGUCGAGUAGUUUGGGAAUGCUGCUCAAAAUGGGAGGUAUAUUUCUUCUAAAGCUAAAUACUGGCCAGAGACCGAUAGCGCACAAGUAGAGUGAUCGAAAGAUGAAAAGCACUUUGAAAAGAGGGUUAAAUAGCACGUGAAAUUGUUGAAAGGGAAGGAUUUAUGACCAGACUUUUUCUGGGGGGAUCAUCCGGUGUUCUCACCGGUGCACUUCCCCCAGUGGAGGCCAGCAUCGGUUCCUGUCGGGGGACAAAAGCUUCGGGAAUGUGGCUCCUCCGGGAGUGUUAUAGCCCGUUGCAUAAUACCCUGACGGGGACCGAGGUUCGCGCAUCUGCAAGGAUGCUGGCGUAAUGGUCAUCAAUCACCCGUCUUGAAACACGGACCAAGGAGUCGAACAUUUGUGCGAGUGUUUGGGUGUUAAACCCUCACGCGUAAUGAAAGUGAACGGAGGUGAGAGCCCCUCGGGGUGCAUCAUCGACCGAUCCUGAUGUCUUCGGAUGGAUUUGAGUAAGAGCAUAACUGUUCGGACCCGAAAGAUGGUGAACUAUGCGUGGAUAGGGUGAAGCCAGAGGAAACUCUGGUGGAGGCUCGCAGCGGUUCUGACGUGCAAAUCGAUCGUCAAAUCUGCGCAUGGGGGCGAAAGACUAAUCGAACCAUCUAGUAGCUGGUUACCGCCGA
rnacentral:rRNA from 2 species